rnacentral:rRNA from 1 species
AUACGAGGAAAGAACCCAACAGGGAUUGCCCCAGUAACGGCGAGUGAAGCGGCAACAGCUCAAAUUUGAAAUCUGGCCCCCUCGGGGCCCGAGUUGUAAUUUGCAGAGGGAGCUUUUGGCGUCGGUCGUGGUCUAAGUUCCUUGGAACAGGACGUCACAGAGGGUGAGAAUCCCGUACGUGGCCGCCGGCCUUCGCCUUGUAAAGCCCCUUCGACGAGUCGAGUUGUUUGGGAAUGCAGCUCUAAAUGGGAGGUAAAUUCCUUCUAAAGCUAAAUACCCGCCAGAGACCGAUAGCGCACAAGUAGAGUGAUCGAAAGAUGAAAAGCACUUUGGAAAGAGAGUGAAAAAGCACGUGAAAUUGUUGAAAGGGAAGCGCUUGCGGCUAGACGUGCCCGCGGUUGAUCAUCCAGGCUCCGGCCUGGUGCACUCCUCCGCGGGCAGGCCAGCAUCAGUUCGGGCGGUCGGAUAAAGGCCUCUGUCACGUACCACCCCUCGGGGUGGCCUUAUAGGGGAGGCGCAACACGGCCAGCCCGGACUGAGGUUCCGCGCAUCUGCUAGGAUGCUGGCGUAAUAGCAGCAAGCGGCCCGUCUUGAAACACGGACCAAGGAGUCUAACAUCUAUGCGAGUGUUUGGGUGUCAAGCCCGAGCGCGCAAUGAAAGUGAACGGAGGUGGGAACCCUCACGGGUGCACCAUCGACCGAUCCUGAUGUCUUCGGAUGGAUUUGAGUAAGAGCAUAGCUGUUGGGACCCGAAAGAUGGUGAACUAUGCCUGAAUAGGGUGAAGCCAGAGGAAACUCUGGUGGAGGCUCGCAGCGGUUCUGACGUGCAAAUCGAUCGUCAAAUUU